AGCAGCCGCGGUAAUUCCAGCUCCAAUAGCGUAUAUUAAAGUUGUUGCAGUUAAAAAGCUCGUAGUUGAAUUUCGGGAUCAAGGAAUCGGUCAUGCCUCGGUAUGUACUGGUUUUAUUGGUUCUCACCUUCUAAAGAACCAUGAUGUCAUUCAUUUGAUGUUAUGGGGAAUUAGGACUGUUACCUUGAAAAAAUUAGAGUGUUUAAAGCAGGCUUACGCUUGAAUACAUUAGCAUGGAAUAAUGAAAUAGGACAUCAGAUUCUAUUUUGUUGGUUUCUAGGAUCGAUGUAAUGAUUAAUAGGGAUAGUUGGGGGCAUUAGUAUUCAAUUGUCAGAGGUGAAAUUCUUGGAUUUAUUGAAGACUAACUACUGCGAAAGCAUUUGCCAAGGAUGUUUUCAUUAAUCAAGAACGAAAGUUAGGGGAUCGAAGACGAUCAGAUACCGUCGUAGUCUUAACCAUAAACUAUGCCGACUAGGGAUCGGAUGAUGUUUAUUUUUAGUGUACUCAUUC
rnacentral:rRNA from 1 species